UGUCGUCAGCUCGUGUCGUGAGAUGUUGGGUUAAGUCCCGCAACGAGCGCAACCCCUGCUUCCAGUUACCAUCAUUAAGUUGGGGACUCUGGAAGGACCGCUGCGGUAACAACGCAGAGGAAGAUGGGGACGACGUCAAGUCAUCAUGGUCCUUAUGUCCGGGGCUACACACGUGCUACAAUGGUAGUUACAGAGGGUUGCGAAGCCGCAAGGUGGAGCGAAUCCCAGAAAAGCUACCCAAGUUCGGAUUGAGGUCUGCAACUCGACCUCAUGAAGCUGGAAUCGCUAGUAAUCGCGCAACAUCAUGGCGCGGUGAAUACGUUCCCGGG
rnacentral:rRNA from 2 species